UGGUUAGUCACUGGCACCUGGGAGGUGCUUCCUGAAUGUUCCUCCAACGUUUGAUGAAUGGUUGGUAAAGGCCAGUACUCCACUAGGAUCAUGGGCUGGCUCACAGGAGCUCUUCCCUCUAAACUGCGGUUUCCUUGGUAAAGUUAGAGAGAUACCAUAGAAGAUGGAGUGCCAUCCACACACUCAGAGGCAGCCUUCUCCUCUGCCUUGACGGUGAAAGUCGCUCAGUCGUGUCCGACCUGGGUCUCCUGCAUUGCAGGUGGAUUCUUUACCAGCUGAUCCACCAAGGAAGCCCCUCCUCUCCCUUAAGCUGCAGCAUUUGAGAGCUGACAUGGGCUUCCCUGGUAGCUCAGAUGGUAAAGCGUCUGCCUGCAAUACAGGAGACCUGGGUUUGAUCCCUGAGUCGGGAAGGAUCCCCUGGAGAAGGCAAUGGCAACCUACUCCAGGACUCUUGCCUGGAAAAUUCCAUGGAUGGAGGAGCCUGGGACAGCUCUCCUCGGCUGGCCAUCCUCCUGCUCAAACUGGACCAGUGACUUUUCUAGGCCCACUGUCCGGCCAGACGCUGGUCCGUUGUAUUAGUUCUUCACCAAACCAACAUCUUCCUUUGAUGGUCACUUGGUUGUUGAAGGAAUCGGGAGGCUUAUCCCACAGAUCUCUGCACACUCUGGAUUGCUGAUGCUUCACUGGGCAUCACUUAGAGACAUGGGUUUGAUCCCUGAUGGGGGAAGACCCCACAUGCUGUGGAGCAACUAAGCCUGUGAGCCACAACUACCAAGCCUGUGCUCUAGAGCCAGGAAGCCACACUACUGAGUCCACGUGCCUCAGCUGCUGAAGCCUGCGCGCUCUAGUGCCCGUGCUCCAAAAUAAGAGAAGCCGCUGCAAACACGCACCACAAUCAGAGUCGGCCCUGCUCACCACUAGGGGAAAGCCCAUACAGCAACGAAGACCCAGUGCAGCCA
ensembl:lncRNA